CGCGUAGGCGGUUUCUUAAGUCAGAGGUGAAAACUACCGGCUCAACCGGUAGCCUGCCUUUGAAACUGGGAGACUUGAGGGCAGGAGAGGGGAGUGGAAUUCCCAGUGUAGCGGUGAAGUGCGUAGAUAUUGGGAGGAACACCAGUGGCGAAGGCGGCUCUCUGGCCUGUUUCUGACGCUGAGGCGCGAAAGCGUGGGGAGCAAACG
rnacentral:rRNA from 1 species